AAAGGAAUUGACGGGGGCCCGCACAAGCAGUGGAUUAUGUGGUUUAAUUCGAAGCAACGCGAAGAACCUUACCAGGACUUGACAUAACAGUGACCGGCUAAGAGAUUAGCCUUCUCUUCGGAGCACUGCUACAGGUGGUGCAUGGUUGUCGUCAGCUCGUGUCGUGAGAUGUUGGGUUAAGUCCCGCAACGAGCGCAACCCUUGUCAUUAGUUGCUACGCGAGAGCACUCUAAUGAGACCGCUACCGACAAGGUGGAGGAAGGUGGGGAUGACGUCAAAUCAUCAUGCCCCUUAUGUCCUGGGCUACACACGUAAUACAAUGGUCAUUAACAGAGGGUCGCAAGACCGCGAGGUGGAGCCAAUCCCUAAAAAUGAUCUCAGUUCGGAUUGCAGGCUGCAACCCGCCUGCAUGAAGCUGGAAUUGCUAGUAAUCGCGGAUCAGCAUGCCGCGGUGAAUACGUUCCCGGGCCUUGUACACACCGCCCGU
rnacentral:rRNA from 1 species